rnacentral:rRNA from 1 species
AACGAACGCUGGCGGCGUGGAUAAGACAUGCAAGUCGGACGAGAUUUUUCGUUGUAGCAAUACGAUGGAAAAUUUAGUGGCGAACGGGUGCUUAACACGUGGGCAACCUGCCAAGAAGUGGGGGACAGCUCGCCGAAAGGCGGAUUAAUACCGCAUGUGAUUAGAGAGGACAUCCUUUCGAAAUUAAAGUCGGGGCAACCUGACGCUUCUUGUGGGGCCCGCGGCCUAUCAGCUAGUUGGUGAGGUAACGGCUCACCAAGGCUUUGACGGGUAGCUGGUCUGAGAGGACGACCAGCCACACUGGGACUGAGACACGGCCCAGACACCUACGGGUGGCAGCAGUCGAGAAUUUUUGACAAUGGGGGAAACCCUGAUCGAGCGACGCCGCGUGGAGGAUGAAGGUCUUCGGAUUGUAAACUCCUGUCAUUGGGGAACAAUGCACAGAUAUUAACUGUAUUUGUGUUGAUAGUACCCGAAGAGGAAGAGACGGCUAACUCUGUGC